rnacentral:rRNA from 1 species
UGGGGAAUAUUGCACAAUGGGCGCAAGCCUGAUGCAGCCAUGCCGCGUGUGUGAAGAAGGCCUUCGGGUUGUAAAGCACUUUCAGCGAGGAGGAAGGUGGUGGACUUAAUACGUUCAUCAAUUGACGUUACUCGCAGAAGAAGCACCGGCUAACUCCGUGCCAGCAGCCGCGGUAAUACGGAGGGUGCAAGCGUUAAUCGGAAUUACUGGGCGUAAAGCGCACGCAGGCGGUUUGUUAAGUCAGAUGUGAAAUCCCCGGGCUCAACCUGGGAACUGCAUUUGAAACUGGCAAGCUAGAGUCUCGUAGAGGGGGGUAGAAUUCCAGGUGUAGCGGUGAAAUGCGUAGAGAUCUGGAGGAAUACCGGUGGCGAAGGCGGCCCCCCUGGACGAAGACUGACGCUCAGGUGCGAAAGCGUGGGGAGCAAACAGGAUUAGAUACCCCUGGUAGGUCCACGCUGUAAAACGAUGUCGAUUUUGGAGGUUGUGCCCCUUGAGGCGUGGNUUCCGGAGCUAACGCGUUAAAUCGACCGCCUGGGGAGUACGGCCNCAAGGUUAAAACUUAAAUGAAUUG